ACGGGCGGAGCGGGCCGGUUUAAAUACCUUGGUAGGAUGCUUCAUCCGGUGGAAGGAUAGUUCAACCCUAAGCAGUUUACCUGUCCCGUCCCGCUAUCUCGUGGAGUAACGUAUACCCAGACAACUGUGUAGGAUAGACUACAUCCCGAGUCCAUCAUCUACCGGAGAAAGACUAACCUUUGAGACCGACCCUCCAAUCACAGACGACCUUCCUGUCACCGACGACGACCUUCCCAAGAUGGCUGCCGACUCCGCCUCUGACGACAGCAAGUUCCUGCGGCAGGAUGACGACUUCAGGAACAGUGGUGUGGGGCAGGCUGAUUGGUCGGCCAAGAAGAUGGUGUGGAUCCCGUCAGAGAAGGAGGGGUUUGAGGCCGCCAGCAUCAAGGAGGAGAAGGGAGACGAUGUGCUGGUAGAGUUGGCUAACGGUAGGAAAGCGACAGUCAACAAGGAUGAUAUCCAGAAGAUGAACCCUCCUAAGUUCAGUAAGGUGGAGGACAUGGCAGCUCUGACCUGUCUCAACGAGGCCUCUGUCCUCCACAACCUCAAAGAGAGGUACUUCUCCAGCCUCAUCUACACGUAUUCAGGUCUGUUCUGUGUGGUGGUGAACCCCUAUAAGAUGCUUCCUAUCUACUCAGAGAAGAUCAUUCAGAUAUAUAAGGGGAAGAAACGCCACGAGGUUCCUCCUCAUAUCUACUCCAUCACUGAUAACGCUUACAGGAACAUGAUGCAAGAGCGUGAGGACCAGUCAAUUCUGUGCACAGGUGAGUCUGGAGCAGGGAAGACAGAGAACACAAAGAAGGUGAUCCAGUAUCUGGCGGUGGUGGCUUCCUCUCACAAGGGCAGCAAGAAGGACACUGGAGCUGAGGCGCCAACGCUAGUCAAGGAGAAGCCAGAGAAGCCUGGGUCUCUGGCCUAUGGGGAGCUAGAGAAGCAGCUGUUGCAGGCUAACCCCAUACUGGAAGCCUUCGGGAACGCCAAGACCAUCAAGAAUGACAACUCCUCACGAUUCGGCAAGUUUAUUAAGCUCAACUUUGACGUGACCGGAUUCCUGGUUGGAGCCAACAUCGAUACCUACCUGCUGGAGAAGUCUCGCUGUAUCCGCCAAGCCAAGAUAGAGAGAGCCUUCCAUAUCUUUUACUACAUGGUGGCCGGAGCGAAGGACCAACUAAAGGAGGAGCUGUUACUGGAGGAUUUCGGGGCCUACCGGUUCCUGGUGGCAGGUCACGUGGAGGUGCCUGGUCAGGAAGAUGAUCAGAUGUUCAUAGAAACACUGGAGGCCAUGGAGAUCAUGGGUUUCUCUGAGGACGAGAGGACAGGCAUGAUGAAGGUGGUCUCCACUGUGCUCCAGCUGGGGAACAUUAAGUUCAACAAGGAGAGGAACAAUGAGCAGGCCACCAUGCCCGACAACACAGCGGCUCAGAAAGUGUGCCACCUGCAGGGUAUCAACGUGACAGACUUCACCCGUUCCGUCCUCACCCCCCGUAUCAAGGUGGGCAGAGAGGUGGUGCAGAAGGCUCAGACCAAGGAGCAGGCUGACUUUGCCAUCGAGGCCCUAGCGAAGGCCAUGUAUGAGCGGUUGUUCAGGUGGAUCCUGGCCAGGGUGAAUAAGACUCUGGAUAAGGCCAAACGUAAAGGAGCAUCAUUCCUGGGGAUCCUAGACAUCGCUGGCUUUGAAAUCUUUGAGGACAACUCGUUUGAGCAGCUGUGCAUCAACUACACCAACGAGCGUCUGCAGCAGCUGUUCAACCACACCAUGUUCAUCCUGGAGCAGGAGGAGUACAAGAGAGAGGGGAUCGACUGGGCCUUCAUAGACUUCGGCCUGGACCUGCAGCCCUGCAUCGAGCUCAUCGAGAGACCGAACAAUCCUCCAGGUAUCUUGGCUCUGUUGGAUGAGGAGUGCUGGUUCCCUAAAGCCACAGACUUGUCCUUCGUUGAGAAGCUGAUGAACACACACACGUCCCACUGCAAGUUCUCCAAACCCAAAUCACUCAAAGACAAGACUGCCUUCUCUGUUCUCCACUACGCCGGCAAGGUGGACUACAAUGGGGCCAACUGGCUGACUAAGAACAUGGACCCUCUGAAUGACAACGUGACGGCUCUCCUCAACAACUCAUCCAACCCCUUCAUACAGGACCUCUGGAAGGAUGUGGACCAUGUGGUGGGUCUGGAGACCAUUACCAAGAUGUCAGAGAGCUCGGCCCCCAGCGCCACCAAGUCUAAGAAGGGCAUGUUCAGGACAGUGGGCCAGCUCUACAAGGAAUCCCUGGGCAAACUGAUGACCACGUUGAACAACACACAGCCCAACUUCAUACGCUGUAUCAUCCCCAACCACGAGAAGAGGGCAGGGAAGCUGGAUGCUAACCUGGUUCUGGAACAGUUGAGGUGUAACGGGGUUCUAGAAGGGAUCCGUAUCUGCAGACAGGGCUUCCCCAACCGCAUCGUGUUCCAAGAGUUCCGACAACGCUAUGAGAUCCUAGCAGCCAACUGCAUCCCAAAGGGUUUCAUGGACGGGAAACAGGCUUGUCAACUAAUGAUGAAGCACCUGGACCUGGACCCUAAUCUGUUCCGUAUUGGUCAGAGUAAGAUGUUCUUCAGAACAGGAGUGUUAGCCCAGCUGGAGGAGGAGAGGGACCUUAAACUGACCGUGGUCAUCAUCGCCUUCCAGGCCCACGCUAGGAGCUUCCUGUCGCGCCGAGCGUUUAGUAAGCGUCAGGCCCAGCUGACUGCUAUGAAGGUGAUUCAGAGGAACUGUGCCGUCUACCUGGUCCUGAAGAACUGGCAGUGGUGGAGGCUGUUCACCAAGGUGAAGCCCCUCCUCCAGGUGACGCGACAGGAAGAAGAAAUGGGUCAGAAGGAGGAGGAGCUGAAGUCCGCCAAGGAUCUGGCUCAGAAGAGCCAGGUGGAACUGAAGGAGAUCUCCCAGAAACACACACAGGUAGUAGAGGAGCGAGCUAAACUGGAGCAGAAGCUUCAGGCGGAGACAGAGUUGUAUGCUGAGGCAGAGGAGAUGAGGGUUCGUCUGGAGGUCAAGAAGCAGGAGCUGGAGGAGGUGCUCCAUGAGAUGGAGUCGCGGCUGGAGGAGGAGGAGGAGAGAGCCACACAGCUGCAGCAGGAGAGGAAGGACAUGCAACAGCAACUACAGGCCAUGGAGGCCCAUCUGUCAGAGGAGGAGGACUCUCGUCAGAAGCUGCAGCUGGAGAAGGUGACUGUUGAGGGGAAGGUCAAGAAACUGGAGGAGGACGUUGUCAUCAUGGAGGACCAGAAUAACAAACUACUCAAGGAGCGUAAACUGUUGGAGGAGAGAAUAGCAGACUCCAGCUCUAACCUGGCUGAGGAAGAGGAGAAGUCUAAGAACCUGACCAAGCUGAAGAACAAACAUGAGUCUAUGAUCUCAGACCUGGAGGUGCGUAUGAAGAAGGAGGAGAAGGGCAGGCAGGAUGUGGAAAAGGCCAAGAGGAAGCUGGAGACGGAGCUGGCUGAUCUCCAGGAGCAGCUGGCCGACCUGCAGGCCCAGCUAGCCGAGCUCAGAGCACAGCUCGCCGCCAAGGAGGAGGAGCUACUGGCCACUCAGGCCAGGUUGGAAGAGGAGUCUGCUGGAUGUGUUGCUGCGGUGCGUCGAGUCAGGGAGCUGGAGGGGCUGCUAGGUGAGAUCCAGGAGGACCUGGAGUCAGAGGGGGCUGCCAGGAGGAGGGCUGAUGCAGCCUGCAGAGACCUGGGAGAGGAGCUGAACGCUCUGAGGUCUGAGCUGGAAGACACUCUGGACACCACCGCCGCACAGCAGGAGCUACGGACGAAGCGAGAGCAGGAGGUUGCCGUGUUGAAGAAGGUGAUGGAGGAGGAAGGGAGGAACCAUGAAGCUCAGGUCCAGGAGAUGAGACAGAAACACACACAGACUGUUGAGGAACUGUCUGAACAACUGGAGCAGGCCAAGAGGGUGCGAGCCAGUCUGGAGAAGGCUAAGCAGGGAUUGGAGAAGGAGUCAUCUGACCUCAGCGCAGACCUCCACUCAUUGGCCAACGCCAAGCAGGAGGUGGAGCACAAGAGGAAGAAGAUCGAAGGUCAGCUGUCAGACUUGCAGUCGCGCUACAACGACAGCGAGAGACAGAGGGGGGAGCUGGGAGAACGAGUCUCUAAGUUGACCUCUGAGUUGGACAGUGUGAGCGGUCUGCUGAAUGAGGUGGAGGGGAAGAACAUUAAACUGAGUAAAGACCUGGUCAGUCUGGGGUCCCAGCUACAUGACUCUCAGGAGUUGUUGUCAGAGGAGACUCGUCAGAAGCUGAACCUGUCAGGUCGUCUUCGCCAGACAGAGGAAGACAGGAACAACCUUCUAGAACAGCUGGAGGAAGAGACAGAGGCCAAGAGAGGAGUGGAGAGACAGGCCUCCAGCCUCAACAUGCAGCUGUCUGACUGUAAGAAGCAUCUGGAUGAGCAGCAGGGAACAGUGGAACUCCUGGAAGAGGGGAAGAAACGCCUGCAGAGAGACCUGGAGGCUGCCAACUCACAGUAUGAGGAGAAGGUGUGUGUCUAUGAUAAACUGGAGAAGAACAGGAUCAGACUACAGCAGGAACUGGAGGACAUUCUGAUGGACCUGGACAACCAGAGAACCUUGGUCUCCAACCUGGAAAAGAAACAGAGGAAGUUUGACCAGAUGCUAGCAGAGGAGCGUUCCAUCUCCGGUAAGUAUGCUGAGGAGCGUGACCGAGCGGAGGCGGAGGCCAGAGAGAAGGAGACGCGGGUGCUGGCUCUGGGGAGGGCCUUGGAGGAGAUGCAGGGCUCCCUGGAGGAGCAGGAGAGAAGCAACAAGGCCCUCAGGGCAGAGAUGGAGGACCUGGUCAGCUCCAAGGACGAUGUCGGGAAGAACGUCCAUGAGUUGGAGAAGACAAAGCGAGGUCUGGAGGCGGUGCUGGAUGAGAUGCGGACCCAGAUGGAGGAGCUGGAGGACGAGCUACAGGUCGCGGAGGAUGCUAAGCUACGUCUGGAGGUCAACACGCAGGCCAUGAAGACACAGCAUGACAGAGACCUGCAGGGACGAGACGAACAGGGGGAGGAGAGGAGGAAACAACUACUGAAACAGGUGCGUGAGCUGGAGGGUGAGCUGGAGGAGGAGAGGAGGCAGCGUGCGGGGGCGACAGCAGGGAGGAAGAAGCUGGAAGGAGAGGUGAAUGAUCUGGAGGACCAGGUGGAAGCCACCAGUAGGGGGCGUGACGAGGCCGUCAAACAGCUGCGCAAGAUACAGGCCCAGAUGAAGGAGCUCCAGAGGGAGGUGGAGGAUUCCCGUGCAGCCCAGAAGGAGGUACUGUCCUCAGCCAGGGAGUCAGAGAGGAGAGCCAAGACCCUGGAGGCCAGCUUCAUGCAGCUACAGGAGGACUUGGCUGCGGCAGAGAGGGCUCGUAAGCAGGCCGAGACAGAAAGAGAUGAGAUGUCUGAGGAGCUGGCCAGCAACUCUGGGAAGUCUAUGAUGUCCGAUGAGAAGCGUCGUCUGGAGGCUAAGAUCAGUCAGCUGGAGGAAGAGCUGGAGGAGGAGCAGGUCAACAUGGAGAACCUCCACGACCGCCUCCGGAAGACACAGCAACAGGUGGACCAGUUGAGCAGUGAGCUGCAGGCUGAGCGUAGUUCCUCCCAGAGCAGUGAGGGCGCCAGACAGCAGCUCGAGAGGCAGAACAAGGAUCUGAAGGUCAAGCUACAGGAGAUGGAGGGUCAGGGGAGGUCAAAGUUCAAAUCCUCCAUCGCCGCCCUGGAGGCCAAACUACACCAGCUGGAGGAGCAGCUGGAGCUGGAGAACAGAGAGAGACAGACCAGCGCUAAAGCAACACGUCAGAAAGAGAAGAAACUGAAGGAUCUGACCAUCCAGAUGGAGGAAGACAGGAAACAGGCAGAGCAGCACAAGGACCAGGCGGAGAAGGCUAACGUGCGUGUGAAGCAGCUGAAGCGUCAGCUGGAAGAGGCGGAGGAGGAGUCUCAACGGGUUGCCGCGGGACGCAGGAAGUUACAGAGAGAACUGGACGAGGCCUCCGAGGCCAACGACGCCCUCACUAGGGAGGUGUCGGCCCUAAAGAGCAAACUCAGGUACACACAGGUUAUUCCACCUGGCUAAAUACAACACUAUGCAGACAUCACACUGAAGUACACCUCGAGAUGAUGUUUUUACACCAGGCGAGGAGGAGGGGAGUCAUCUUUCAGCAGCAGUCCUCGUCGCGUGGGGAGCAUUGGGAAUGUCAGCCUCAGUAGGACUGGGAGCCGGAGGAGCAGAGCUGGGGAUAAUGAAGGGAAUGGUGGGAAUUCUGAGAACACAAACAACGUUCCAGAAGAGGAGGAGCCUCUGUUCUCGUCCACCCCGCCUCCAGAGGACAUCAGCGGAACCCUGCCGGAAGAGUAGAGGGACAAAGUCUCACCCCUCCUUUUAAACACUGUCCUUCCUUCUUCCUGUCCUUCCCUGACUUCCCUCAAUACAUCUUUCCAUUUCCUGUCUUUUAUCCCUCCCUUGUUCCCUCUCCUUCUAUUCCUCCUUUUAUCUUUCCCUGUUUCUACUUCUCCCUUCUUCCCUCCCCUUCUUCCUUUUUUCUCCUCCCUUCUGCCCUGCCCUUCUUCCCUCCCCCUCCCUUUCUCCUCCCUUCUUCCCUCCCCCUCCCUUCUUCCCUCCCCCUCCCUUAUACCCUGCCCCCUUUUUAUGCAUCACCUGUUUGUGACAAUAGUUUUUAUUUUGUCAGCAAAAUGUCACAAAGUACAGUGUGAGCCGUUUUAAACUGAAGUUAUAGCUUAUUGCAGAUGUCAUAAUAUAUAUCUGAUGUUAUAAUAUAUAUCUGAAGAUAUAAUAUAUAUCUGAAGUCAUAAUAUAUAUCUGAAGUCAUAUCUGAAGUUAUAAUAUAUAUCUGAAGUUAUAAUAUAUAUCUGAUGUUAUAAUAUAUAUCUGAAGUUAUAGCUUAUUACAGACGUCAUAAUAUAUAUCUGAAGUUAUAAUAUAUAUCUGAAGUUAUAAUAUAUAUCUGAAGUUAUAGCUUAUUACAGACGUCAUAAUAUAUAUCUGAAGUUAUAAUAUAUAUCUGAAGUUAUAAUAUAUAUCUGAAGUUAUAGCUUAUUACAGACGUCAUAAUAUAUAUCUGAAGUUAUAAUAUAUAUCUGAAGUUAUAAUAUAUAUCUGAAGUUAUAAUAUAUAUCUGAAGUUAUAAUAUAUAUCUGAAGUCAUAAUAUAUAUGAUGUUAUAAUAUAUAUCUGAAGUUAUAAUAUAUAUCUGAAGUUAUAGCUUAAAGAUUGUUUUUCUCUCUACUUUUAUUUAUUUGAUUAUAAUUUCAAGCAGUGGCUAUUAUGUUAAAAUAAACUAAUUAUUUAAUCUGGGUAUUUAAUGUGAAUUGAGUUGAUAUAGAGUAAACCCAGGGACAAUACUGUCUAAAGAUAGAUUUAAUCAGAUAUCAGGCUGUGUGCUGGGUCUUUGUUUUUCAUUCAUAAUGAGUUCCUUACUGACCCACACACACACUACAGUCCUACUGCUAUGAUCUACGUUGAUUUUAGGUUCACAUAAAAUUGUUGUUUAUUCUACAAUCAUACUAGCCUGAUCCCAGAUCUGUUUGUGCCAUCAUGUCAACUUAUGACAGGCAGACUGGUACCCAGGCUACAAUCCUACAGGACACAGACAGACUGGUGCCCAGGCUACAAUCCUACAGGACACAGACAGACUGGUACCCAGGCUACAAUCCUACAGGACACAGACAGACUGGUGCCCAGGCUACAAUCCUACAGGACACAGACAGACUGGUACCCAGGCUACAAUCCUACAGGACACAGACAGACUGGUGCCCAGGAUACAAAAGUCUACAUGGCUUUUAGUACCAUUCAGUGUCAAGGGUUAUUAGGCUGAAUUGUUUGUGAAAACAUCUAAAUAUAUAUUUUAAAUGCUAUAAACUAUUUUCAAAUCAC